CUCGGUGGCGAUGGCGGAGGUGUCACACCCGUUCCCAUCCCGAACACGGUCGUUAAGCCCUCCAGCGCCGAUGGUACUAUGGGGUCCCCCCAUGGGAGAGUAGGAAGCCGCCGGGA
rnacentral:rRNA from 1 species